UUAAGUUAUUAAGGGCGCACGGUGGAUGCCUUGGCACUAGAAGCCGAUGAAGGACGUUACUAACGACGAUAUGCUUUGGGGAGCUGUAAGUAAGCUUUGAUCCAGAGAUUUCCGAAUGGGGAAACCCAGCAUGAGUUAUGUCAUGUUAUCGAUAUGUGAAUACAUAGCAUAUCAGAAGGCACACCCGGAGAACUGAAACAUCUUAGUACCCGGAGGAAGAGAAAGAAAAUUCGAUUCCCUUAGUAGCGGCGAGCGAAACGGGAAGAGCCCAAACCAACAAGCUUGCUUGUUGGGGUUGUAGGACACUCUAUACGGAGUUACAAAGGACGACAUUAGACGAAUCAUCUGGAAAGAUGAAUCAAAGAAGGUAAUAAUCCUGUAGUCGAAAAUGUUGUCUCUCUUGAGUGGAUCCUGAGUACGACGGAGCACGUGAAAUUCCGUUGGAAUCUGGGAGGACCAUCUCCUAAGGCUAAAUACUCUCUAGUGACCGAUAGUGAACCAGUACCGUGAGGGAAAGGUGAAAAGCACCCCGGAAGGGGAGUGAAAUAGAACCUGAAACCGUGUGCUUACAAGUAGUCAGAGCCCGUUAAUGGGUGAUGGCGUGCCUUUUGUAGAAUGAACCGGCGAGUUACGAUUUGAUGCAAGGUUAAGCAGUAAAUGUGGAGCCGUAGCGAAAGCGAGUCUGAAUAGGGCGUUUAGUAUUUGGUCGUAGACCCGAAACCAGGUGAUCUACCCUUGGUCAGGUUGAAGUUCAGGUAACACUGAAUGGAGGACCGAACCGACUUACGUUGAAAAGUGAGCGGAUGAACUGAGGGUAGCGGAGAAAUUCCAAUCGAACCUGGAGAUAGCUGGUUCUCUCCGAAAUAGCUUUAGGGCUAGCCUCAAGUGAUGAUUAUUGGAGGUAGAGCACUGUUUGGACGAGGGGCCCCUCUCGGGUUACCGAAUUCAGACAAACUCCGAAUGCCAAUUAAUUUAACUUGGGAGUCAGAACAUGGGUGAUAAGGUCCGUGUUCGAAAGGGAAACAGCCCAGACCACCAGCUAAGGUCCCAAAAUAUAUGUUAAGUGGAAAAGGAUGUGGCGUUGCCCAGACAACUAGGAUGUUGGCUUAGAAGCAGCCAUCAUUUAAAGAGUGCGUAAUAGCUCACUAGUCGAGUGACACUGCGCCGAAAAUGUACCGGGGCUAAACAUAUUACCGAAGCUGUGGAUUGUCCUUUGGACAAUGGUAGGAGAGCGUUCUAAGGGCGUUGAAGCAUGAUCGUAAGGACAUGUGGAGCGCUUAGAAGUGAGAAUGCCGGUGUGAGUAGCGAAAGACGGGUGAGAAUCCCGUCCACCGAUUGACUAAGGUUUCCAGAGGAAGGCUCGUCCGCUCUGGGUUAGUCGGGUCCUAAGCUGAGGCCGACAGGCGUAGGCGAUGGAUAACAGGUUGAUAUUCCUGUACCACCUAUAAUCGUUUUAAUCGAUGGGGGGACGCAGUAGGAUAGGCGAAGCGUGCGAUUGGAUUGCACGUCUAAGCAGUAAGGCUGAGUAUUAGGCAAAUCCGGUACUCAUUAAGGCUGAGCUGUGAUGGGGAGAAGACAUUGUGUCUUCGAGUCGUUGAUUUCACACUGCCGAGAAAAGCCUCUAGAUAGAAAAUAGGUGCCCGUACCGCAAACCGACACAGGUAGUCAAGAUGAGAAUUCUAAGGUGAGCGAGCGAACUCUCGUUAAGGAACUCGGCAAAAUGACCCCGUAACUUCGGGAGAAGGGGUGCUCUUUAGGGUUAACGCCCAGAAGAGCCGCAGUGAAUAGGCCCAAGCGACUGUUUAUCAAAAACACAGGUCUCUGCUAAACCGUAAGGUGAUGUAUAGGGGCUGACGCCUGCCCGGUGCUGGAAGGUUAAGAGGAGUGGUUAGCUUCUGCGAAGCUACGAAUCGAAGCCCCAGUAAACGGCGGCCGUAACUAUAACGGUCCUAAGGUAGCGAAAUUCCUUGUCGGGUAAGUUCCGACCCGCACGAAAGGCGUAACGAUUUGGGCACUGUCUCAACGAGAGACUCGGUGAAAUCAUAGUACCUGUGAAGAUGCAGGUUACCCGCGACAGGACGGAAAGACCCCGUGGAGCUUUACUGUAGCCUGAUAUUGAAAUUCGGCACAGCUUGUACAGGAUAGGUAGGAGCCUUUGAAACGUGAGCGCUAGCUUACGUGGAGGCGCUGGUGGGAUACUACCCUAGCUGUGUUGGCUUUCUAACCCGCACCACUUAUCGUGGUGGGAGACAGUGUCAGGCGGGCAGUUUGACUGGGGCGGUCGCCUCCUAAAAGGUAACGGAGGCGCUCAAAGGUUCCCUCAGAAUGGUUGGAAAUCAUUCAUAGAGUGUAAAGGCAUAAGGGAGCUUGACUGCGAGACCUACAAGUCGAGCAGGGUCGAAGGACGGACUUAGUGAUCCGGUGGUUCCGCAUGGAAGGGCCAUCGCUCAAC
rnacentral:rRNA from 1 species